CCUGGCUUCAAGUGAUACAACCACCUCGGCCUCCCAAAGUGCUAGGAUUACAGGCGUGAGCCAAUGCGCCCCGCCAGGAUUCCCUUAUUUUUCUUGCCCAGUUGCUCUUUUGAGAAGUUGUAGUACAACAUUGAGUAUAAGUAAUGAGAGCAGACGUCCCUGUAUUUUACCUGAUCCUAGCAUAUAAGGAGGAUUCUGACCCUACCUUUCUUAGUUAUGUGUAGCUCUUGAAGCAUUAUGUGAAUGGCUACGUCUCAUUUGUAAAGAGGACACCAAGUUCUUUUUAUUUUUAUGCUUCCCUCAAUGGCUCUCCACAUCUCAGCAUUUAAGAUGAUUCUGUUACCAGUGGAAGAGAUCCAAGUUACCCUGAGUCAUCAGCAGCGAAUCUGUACACAUCUGCAGCAACUUCGUCCUUGCCACCUCAGAAGAAUCCGACUUGAUCUCAGGACUUUAUAGGCUUGCCUCUUUCCCAUGAUUCUUCCCUCAGGGUAGGCUGCCUGCCUGCGGAGUGCCUGCCCCCUUACCCUUGGGAAUUGAGCAUGCACUGUGCUUUUAGGAAGUCAUAUGCAUGCCCAUCUGAAACUUUCUUCCCUUUUUCCAGAGGAGUCUGCCUGGAAUGUCAUAUUUUGCCAUUUUGUCUCUUAGUGUACAUGCCCAGGCAGUUUCUUCUCCCUGGCAUCUGGAUUCAUUUAACACUUUAAUGUUAACAGCUGUGGAUCACCUCCCUGGUGCUCUGGGUAGGCUACCACAUUAUCAUUUUUAGAGAGGUGGUGAGAUAAUUGUCCAGCCAUCACCUGACAUUCCUAGUGGGUGGGUGGAGAGCCCUCUCCUGCCUCACUCAUGCCUAUCUAACUACUUGUAACAAUACUUAAUAUAAAGUAAAAUCCACCUACUAGAGCAUAUAUCCCUUCACAGGGGAUGCAAGACUGCUAGCUUCCCCAAUUUUUUAAAAUUAUUUUUUAAUUGACAAGUGAAACGUGUACAUAGUGAUGGUGUACAACAUAUUUUGAUAUAUGUAUACAAUGUGGAAUCACUAAAUCAAGCUAAUUAACAUAUGCAUCACCUCGCAUAUUUGUGUGUGUGUGUGUGUGUUGUGAGAAGCCAAAUUUAUUAACUUUUUCAUUUAUAGCUAGUGAUUUCUGUGUUCUGCCUAAGAAAUAUUUGCCUACUGCAAGGUUGCAAAGAUUCUCUCUAAUGUCUUCUUCCAGUAGUUCCUUGGUAAAUUUUAAGUAAUUUUAUGGUAUGGUGUAAAGGUCAAAUUCCUUUUUCUUUUGAAAACAAUUUUUUUUUUUCUUUCUAAAAAUCCAUGGGAUUUUGGAAGGAGAAAGAAUCUGGACGCAGCAAUGGGAAGCACUUGCCUCACUGCCUGGCCGUGACGUACAUGGAACAUUGUAUGUCAUACAAUGAUAUACAGUGAGGGGGCAAAACUUGUGGUUAAAAGAAAUAUCUGGGAAUACAGUGGUGCUUGCUGAAUCCAGAUGGUUCCAUGCUACAUGGAGAAAGGGCUCAACGGGGCAGUGAGGGUGACCACUGGAGCAGAUUAAGGGCUAAAAGGAGCAGGGUAGGUUAUCCACAGGGGUUAUUAUAUUAUCUGAAAUUUACAUUAAAAUACUUGGCAAUGAAAA